GUGGGGAAUAUUGGACAAUGGGCGCAAGCCUGAUCCAGCCAUGCCGCGUGCAGGAAGACGCAUCUAUGGUGUGUAAACUGCUUUUGUACGGGAAGAAACACUCCCUCGUGAGGGAGCUUGACGGUACCGUAAGAAUAAGGAUCGGCUAACUCCGUGCCAGCAGCCGCGGUAAUACGGAGGAUCCAAGCGUUAUCCGGAAUCAUUGGGUUUAAAGGGUCCGUAGGCGGUUUAAUAAGUCAGUGGUGAAAGCCCAUCGCUCAACGAUGGAACGGCCAUUGAUACUGUUAGACUUGAAUUACAAGGAAGUAACUAGAAUAUGUAGUGUAGCGGUGAAAUGCUUAGAUAUUACAUGGAAUACCAAUUGCGAAGGCAGGUUACUACUUGUGGAUUGACGCUGAUGGACGAAAGCGUGGGGAGCGAACAGGAUUAGAUACCCGAGUAGUCC
rnacentral:rRNA from 1 species